rnacentral:rRNA from 1 species
AGUGAACGCUGGCGGUAGGCCUAACACAUGCAAGUCGAACGGCAGCACAGAAAGAGCUUGCUCUUACGGGUGGCGAGUGGCGGACGGGUGAGGAAUACAUCGGAAUCUACUUUUUCGUGGGGGAUAACGUAGGGAAACUUACGCUAAUACCGCAUACGACCUACGGGUGAAAGCAGGGGAUCUUCGGACCUUGCGCGAUUGAAUGAGCCGAUGUCGGAUUAGCUAGUUGGCGGGGUAAAGGCCCACCAAGGCGACGAUCCGUAGCUGGUCUGAGAGGAUGAUCAGCCACACUGGAGCUGAGACACGGUCCAGACUCCUACGGGAGGCAGCAGUGGGGAAUAUUGGACAAUGGGCGCAAGCCUGAUCCAGCCAUACCGCGUGGGUGAAGAAGGCCUUCGGGUUGUAAAGCCCUUUUGUUGGGAAAGAAAAGCAGCAGGUUAAUACCCCGCUGUUCUGACGGUACCCAAAGAAUAAGCACCGGCUAACUUCGUG